CUGUGGUUACGGAUGGGGAAGUGUGUAGCUAGUGUGUUGGCUAUAGUGGGAACGGAAACUUUUUCAAGUUCAACGAGCAUAGUUUAGCCCACGUACCUGUGACGAUUAGCAUGUUUAUUUCCUCCUGAAUGAUCCAGCUUCCAAUAUUCCAUGUGUUGAGUUAAUGACGAAAAACUAUAAUGACAAAGAUGGAUAUUGGAAUGUUCUGAUGAGUACUGCUGGAGCUCAAUACAGUUGAAGGAAGAAAUUACAUCUCCUCGUCUUCAUUCCUGUGUCCUGACCGAUACACCAUCCUGUUCACUAGCUGAAAACCUUGAUGAACUAGCCCUACCUAGUUGCCUCAUUAACAGCCAGAGACCUACAGGUUGGGAUGAAUAUCUGCAAUCGUUGGCUAUAUUGAACAUACCUUUAUCAGUUGUACCAGAUCAACAGGUCAAAAGAAAAAUUGACGAGAUUAAGAGAAAGACUUCUGGAGAAUCUUCUCCUCUUAUUACUGGACCGCCACCUACACCUCUUGUUACCAGAGGGCAUCGAUUAGCAAACAAUGAAACAAGUCCAUUUGUAUCUCCUAAAGUGCAAUUGAGUGAUUGGAUAACUUUUUAAUUGUAUAUCGUUAUUACUUUUAAAUAAAUGCAUAGAGACAUAACUUUA